rnacentral:rRNA from 1 species
GAUGAACGCUGGCGGCGUGCCUAAUACAUGCAAGUCGAGCGAACGGACGAGAAGCUUGCUUCUCUGAUGUUAGCGGCGGACGGGUGAGUAACACGUGGAUAACCUACCUAUAAGACUGGGAUAACUUCGGGAAACCGGAGCUAAUACCGGAUAAUAUUUUGAACCGCAUUGUUCAAAAGUGAAAGACGUUCUUUCUGUCACUUAUAGAUGGUUCCGCGCUGCAUUAGCUAGUUGGUAAGGUAACGGCUUACCAAGGCAACGAUGCAUAUCCGACCUGAGAGGGUGAUCGGCCACACUGGAACUGAGACACGGUCCAGACUCCUACGGGAGGCAGCAGUAGGGAAUCUUCCGAAAUGGGCGAAAGCCUGACGGAGCAACGCCGCGUGAGUGAUGAAGGUCUUCGGAUCGUAAAACUCUGUUAUUAGGGAAGAACAUAUGUGUAAGUAAAUGUGCACAUCUUGACGGUACCUAAUCAGAAAGCCACGGCUAACUACGUG